ensembl:lncRNA
AAGAGUGUCUAGAAAAUGUGUGUUUUGCAGAGCUUGUGAAGCAAGGAGAACAGUCUGAGCAGCAGUGGAGGGCAGAGAAGCAGAAUUGCAAAGAGAUGGAAGCCAUUAUAUAAAACAUGGAUGAGAUGAUGCAAGAUCGGAGGGCUGAAAAGGAGAAUCUGGAUCAGGUGAAACAAGUGAUGAAUGGAGUAUAUCCGUCUCUCAGGACAGAGUUUUGACUUGCAGGAAUCUUACAGUGGACACAUAGUGCUCGAGAUUCGCCAAAACACCAUCAAGGUACUGUCCAGCCAAUCAGAUCAAGGUUUGAUGAGCAUGUAGAUAAUGGUUUCUGUUCUUGCUGAUGUCU